GGGUUGUGAGGUUAAGCGACUAAGCGUACACGGUGGAUGCCCUGGCAGUCAGAGGCGAUGAAGGGCGUGCUAAUCUGCGAUAAGCGCCGGUAAGGUGAUAUGAACCGUUAUAACCGGCGAUACCCGAAUGGGGAAACCCAGUGUGACUCGUCACACUAUCAUUAACUGAAUCCAUAGGUUAAUGAGGCGAACCGGGGGAACUGAAACAUCUAAGUACCCCGAGGAAAAGAAAUCAACCGAGAUUCCCCCAGUAGCGGCGAGCGAACGGGGAGGAGCCCAGAGCCUGAAUCAGCAUGUGUGUUAGUGGAAGCGUCUGGAAAGGCGCGCGAUACAGGGUGACAGCCCCGUACACAAAAGCGCAUGUGCUGUGAGCUCGAUGAGUAGGGCGGGACACGUGGUAUCCUGUCUGAAUAUGGGGGGACCAUCCUCCAAGGCUAAAUACUCCUGACUGACCGAUAGUGAACCAGUACCGUGAGGGAAAGGCGAAAAGAACCCCGGCGAGGGGAGUGAAAAAGAACCUGAAACCGUGUACGUACAAGCAGUGGGAGCACAGGUUUAUGUGGUGACUGCGUACCUUUUGUAUAAUGGGUCAGCGACUUAUAUUCUGUAGCAAGGUUAACCGUAUAGGGGAGCCGUAGGGAAACCGAGUCUUAACCGGGCGUUAAGUUGCAGGGUAUAGACCCGAAACCCGGUGAUCUAGCCAUGGGCAGGUUGAAGGUUGGGUAACACUAACUGGAGGACCGAACCGACUAAUGUUGAAAAAUUAGCGGAUGACCUGUGGCUGGGGGUGAAAGGCCAAUCAAACCGGGAGAUAGCUGGUUCUCCCCGAAAGCUAUUUAGGUAGCGCCUCGUGAAUUCAUCUCCGGGGGUAGAGCACUGUUUCGGCUAGGGGGCCAUCCCGGCUUACCAACCCGAUGCAAACUGCGAAUACCGGAGAAUGUUAUCACGGGAGACACACGGCGGGUGCUAACGUCCGUCGUGAAGAGGGAAACAACCCAGACCGCCAGCUAAGGUCCCAAAGUCAUGGUUAAGUGGGAAACGAUGUGGGAAGGCCCAGACAGCCAGGAUGUUGGCUUAGAAGCAGCCAUCAUUUAAAGAAAGCGUAAUAGCUCACUGGUCGAGUCGGCCUGCGCGGAAGAUGUAACGGGGCUAAACCAUGCACCGAAGCUGCGGCAGCGACACUAUGUGUUGUUGGGUAGGGGAGCGUUCUGUAAGCCUGUGAAGGUGGCCUGUGAGGGUUGCUGGAGGUAUCAGAAGUGCGAAUGCUGACAUAAGUAACGAUAAAGCGGGUGAAAAGCCCGCUCGCCGGAAGACCAAGGGUUCCUGUCCAACGUUAAUCGGGGCAGGGUGAGUCGACCCCUAAGGCGAGGCCGAAAGGCGUAGUCGAUGGGAAACGGGUUAAUAUUCCCGUACUUGGUGUUACUGCGAAGGGGGGACGGAGAAGGCUAUGUUGGCCGGGCGACGGUUGUCCCGGUUUAAGCGUGUAGGUGUGUGUUCCAGGUAAAUCCGGUUCACUUUAACACUGAGGCGUGACGACGAGGCACUACGGUGCUGAAGCAACAAAUGCCCUGCUUCCAGGAAAAGCCUCUAAGCAUCAGGUAACAUCAAAUCGUACCCCAAACCGACACAGGUGGUCAGGUAGAGAAUACCAAGGCGCUUGAGAGAACUCGGGUGAAGGAACUAGGCAAAAUGGUGCCGUAACUUCGGGAGAAGGCACGCUGACACGUAGGUGAAGUGAUUUACUCACGGAGCUGAAGUCAGUCGAAGAUACCAGCUGGCUGCAACUGUUUAUUAAAAACACAGCACUGUGCAAACACGAAAGUGGACGUAUACGGUGUGACGCCUGCCCGGUGCCGGAAGGUUAAUUGAUGGGGUCAGCGCAAGCGAAGCUCCUGAUCGAAGCCCCGGUAAACGGCGGCCGUAACUAUAACGGUCCUAAGGUAGCGAAAUUCCUUGUCGGGUAAGUUCCGACCUGCACGAAUGGCGUAAUGAUGGCCAGGCUGUCUCCACCCGAGACUCAGUGAAAUUGAACUCGCUGUGAAGAUGCAGUGUACCCGCGGCAAGACGGAAAGACCCCGUGAACCUUUACUAUAGCUUGACACUGAACAUUGAGCCUUGAUGUGUAGGAUAGGUGGGAGGCUUUGAAGUGUGGACGCCAGUCUGCAUGGAGCCGGCCUUGAAAUACCACCCUUUAAUGUUUGAUGUUCUAACGUGGACCCGUGAUCCGGGUUGCGGACAGUGUCUGGUGGGUAGUUUGACUGGGGCGGUCUCCUCCUAAAGAGUAACGGAGGAGCACGAAGGUUGGCUAAUCCUGGUCGGACAUCAGGAGGUUAGUGCAAUGGCAUAAGCCAGCUUGACUGCGAGCGUGACGGCGCGAGCAGGUGCGAAAGCAGGUCAUAGUGAUCCGGUGGUUCUGAAUGGAAGGGCCAUCGCUCAACGGAUAAAAGGUACUCCGGGGAUAACAGGCUGAUACCGCCCAAGAGUUCAUAUCGACGGCGGUGUUUGGCACCUCGAUGUCGGCUCAUCACAUCCUGGGGCUGAAGUAGGUCCCAAGGGUAUGGCUGUUCGCCAUUUAAAGUGGUACGCGAGCUGGGUUUAGAACGUCGUGAGACAGUUCGGUCCCUAUCUGCCGUGGGCGCUGGAGAACUGAGGGGGGCUGCUCCUAGUACGAGAGGACCGGAGUGGACGCAUCACUGGUGUUCGGGUUGUCAUGCCAAUGGCACUGCCCGGUAGCUAAAUGCGGAAGAGAUAAGUGCUGAAAGCAUCUAAGCACGAAACUUGCCCCGAGAUGAGUUCUCCCUGAGACUACGAGUCUCCUGAAGGAACGUUGAAGACGACGACGUUGAUAGGCCGGGUGUGUAAGCGCAGCGAUGCGUUGAGCUAACCGGUACUAAUGAACCGUGAGGCUUAACCUUACAACGCCGAAGCUGUU
rnacentral:rRNA from 1 species